CCUGCCUUUCUUCCCCAGCGUCACCAUCUGUGGCAGCCUGGGAUACGCAUGAGCUCCUCAGGAGGGCGGCUCCGUGGAACACACAUCUGGAUGACAGGAGGGAGCCAGGAGCUGUGAGAAGACGGGGGAGCUGCCGCCGCAAGAAUGCAAGACCCACGGGCUCUACGAUGCGGGGGAGCAGCGGGCAUCUGAGGAAGGGGCGUCAGGGGCACAUGGCCAGCCCUCUUCACCCCACAGUCUGCCCCAGGCCAGCCCCACUAGGAGUGACCCAUUUUCUCCUAGCAGGAUUCCUUGCAUGGGGUGGCCUGGACCCAAAACACCCGCUCUGAGGAUUCCCUGUUAACCACAGAGAAGGUUGACUCAAGUUUCUUUAUUUGGCCAUGAAACUGUGGGGCAUCUCACGGUGCUUCUUGGGUCCACUGGAGAGCCCUGGAAGCU
rnacentral:lncRNA from 1 species